UACAGAGGGGGCAAGCGUUGUUCGGAAUUACUGGGCGUAAAGGGCGCGUAGGCGGCCCGCUAAGUCGAACGUGAAAUCCCCGAGCUCAACUCGGGAACUGCGUCCGAUACUGGUGGGCUUGAAUCCGGGAGAGGGAUGUGGAAUUCCAGGUGUAGCGGUGAAAUGCGUAGAUAUCUGGAGGAACACCGGUGGCGAAGGCGGCAUCCUGGACCGGCAUUGACGCUGAGGCGCGAAAGCUAGGGGAGCAAACGGG
rnacentral:rRNA from 1 species